UACCAGCACCCCGAGUGGGCGGGACGAUUAUUGGGCCUAAAGCAUCCGUAGCCGGUUCUACAAGUCUUCCGUUAAAUCCACCUGCUUAACAGAUGGGCUGCAGAGGAUACUAUAGAGCUAGGAGGCGGGAGAGGCAAGCGGUACUCAGUGGGUAGGGGUAAAAUCCGUUGAUCCAUUGAAGACCACCAGUGGCGAAGGCGGCUUGCCAGAAUGCGCUCGACGGUGAGGGAUGAAAGCUGGGGGAGCAAACCGG
rnacentral:rRNA from 1 species